rnacentral:rRNA from 1 species
UACGGAGGGGGCUAGCGUUGUUCGGAAUUACUGGGCGUAAAGCGCGCGUAGGCGGGCUGUUAAGUCGAGGGUGAAAGCCCGGGGCUCAACCCCGGAACUGCCUUCGAUACUGGCAGCCUAGAGUGCGGGAGAGGUGAGUGGAAUGCCGAGUGUAGAGGUGAAAUUCGUAGAUAUUCGGCGGAACACCCGUGGCGAAGGCGGCUCACUGGCCCGAUACUGACGCUGAGGUGCGAAAGCGUGGGGAGCAAACAGG